rnacentral:rRNA from 1 species
CCAAUAGCGUAUAUUAAAGUUGUUGCAGUUAAAAAGCUCGUAGUUGAAUUUCGGGAUCAUCAGGUCGGUCGUGCCUCCGGUAUGUACUGGUCUCGAUGGUUCCUCCUUCUUGUAGAACCGUAAUGCCAUUAAUUUGGUGUUGCGGGAAAACAGGACUGUUACUUUGAAAAAAUUAGAGUGUUUAAAGCAGGCGAUCGCUUGAAUACAUUAGCAUGGAAUAAUGAAAUAGGACGUUUAAUCCUAUUUUGUUGGCUUCUAGGAUUGACGUAAUGAUUAAUAGGGAUAGUUGGGGGCAUUAGUAUUCAAUUGUCAGAGGUGAAAUUCUUGGAUUUAUUGAAGACUAACUACUGCGAAAGCAUUUGCCAAGGAUGUUUUCAUUAAUCAAGAACGAAAGUUAGGGGAUCGAAGACGAUCAGAUACCGUCGUAGUCUUAACCAUAAACUAUGCCGACUAGGGAUCGGAUGAUAAUUUUUUAAUGACUCAUUCGGCGCCUUACG